ACACGUCUACAUUAGAUACCCCUGUAGUCCCAGCCGUAAACUAUGCGCGUUAGGUGUAUCGGUGACCACGAGUUACCGAGGUGCCGAAGGGAAACCGUGAAACGUGCCGCCUGGGAAGUACGGUCGCAAGGUUGAAACUUAAAGGAAUUGGCGGGGAGCACCACAACAGGUGGAGCCUGCGGUUUAAUUGGACUCAACGCCGGGAAGCUCACCGGAUAGGACAGCAGAAUGAUUGCCGGGCUGAAGACCCUGCAUGACUAGCUG
rnacentral:rRNA from 1 species